GUCCACUGUGUGUGCAGGACACACAUCCACUCAUAAUUAGACCCAUUUGGAAAUUUGCACAAAGAAAAAAAAUACCACGGAAAGACAGAAGGAGGGCAAUGACAAGAAUCU